rnacentral:lncRNA from 1 species
GCCUUAAAAGUCCAAUCCCUUUCCUGACAUGUGAAUUCCAACAGCAACAUCUGUGCAGAGAGGAGGCCGGCCUCCCCUUGAAGCCCUCCCAAGGUGAGGAGCUCACCUCUCAAGAGUUCAGCUUGCAAGAGGCCCUCUACGAGGGUGGGAGAGCGGAGGAUUACGCGGAGCAACUCAGGAACCUCUCCAGAGCCAGUGUACCCUAAGAUUUCCCACUUGCUGAGUCUACUGUCUCCAUCCCACCAUCCCCAAGGCCUCCUCUCUGGCUGCUGUCAACUCAUGUGAUACCUCAGUCAGCACCAGGCACAGGUGAGCACCUGAGUCCCCUGAGUAUACACACUCUGGCUCCUUGGGGAACAGACACCUGCUGGCUCUGCAAAGGACACAGAGCACAUGCUCUGAAUGCCCCAAGGGGACAUCAAAAGCACUAACAGUUCACACCUAUGGAGCACUCCCUGUGUCCUGAACUCCAUGCUAAGCUUGCCUUUAUUAACCUGUUUCAUCCUCACAACAGCCCUAAAAGCAGGUGCUACUAUCGGCCUCAUUUCACACCUGAGGAAACUGAGCCACAAAAAGAUGAGACAACUUGUCCAAGAUCAUCCAGGUGGGAAACAGCAGUGCUAGGGUCUGAACCCAGGCUCUCUGGCUCCAGAGUCCGUGCUCCUGACCAUUUCAGUGUGCUGCCUGUCACAUGAUCCAGAGGGCACAUUUACUCGCACUGUCACCAUGCAGAGAGUACAUGCACUCAGACACACACACACAUGCACAAGUACCAAGUCACAAAAAGGGUGGUGACUGGGCUGUGAUAUGAGCCUUUCUCCACCCCCCCACCCU